rnacentral:misc_RNA from 2 species
AACGCACAUUGCGCCCCUUGGUAUUCCAUGGGGCAUGCCUGUUCGAGCGUCAUUUGUACCCUCCAGCCCUGCUGGGUGUUGGGCGUUUUGUUCCGCUACACGCGUGAACUCGCCUCAAAUGCAUUGGCAGCCAGCCGUCCCGCGUGGGAGCGCAGCACAUUUUGCGCUCUCUGCUGGGUGCGGCGGCGUCCACAAGCCUAUACUUUUACGCUUGACCUCGGAUCAGGUAGGGAUACCCGCUGAACUUAA